rnacentral:rRNA from 1 species
UACGAAGGGGGCUAGCGUUGCUCGGAAUCACUGGGCGUAAAGCGCACGUAGGCGGCUUUUUAAGUCAGAGGUGAAAUCCUGGAGCUCAACUCCAGAACUGCCUUUGAUACUGUAGAGCUUGAGUCCGGGAGAGGUGAGUGGAACUGCGAGUGUAGAGGUGAAAUUCGUAGAUAUUCGCAAGAACACCAGUGGCGAAGGCGGCUCACUGGCCCGAUACUGACGCUGAGGCACGAAAGCGUGGGGAGCAAACAGG